rnacentral:lncRNA from 1 species
AGUUCCUAGAGUUGGACCGGUAUUCCCCUGAGAGCAUGAUGGAUGAAGGCAGAAAGGCAAGAAAGUUCGAGUGGAGCCUCCGUCCUGAGAUUAUACAGCAGCUGUAUGUGUUUGAACUCAGUACUUACUCGGCUGUUCUAGUCAAGACACAGCUAGUGGAGAGGAACCUUCGCAUUUUUCCUCCAGCAGUAGGGAACUCAAGCCCUCGUUUUCAUACCGUAAACUAGCACCCAUUGCACCUAUUCAGCAGAACAAGAGACUUAAGCCAGUGACCCAGGCUCCUCCUCAGAUUCCGACAAUAGGACGCGGUAGGACUUAUCAGCACUGCACAAAGAUCAUGGGGACCGACCCUACUAUCACCUUAACAAUACUUUCCGUAUAUGUGGGAGUGCCCAGUAUUACGCGAGAGAGUGUCCGAGGAAUUAGAACCAGACCAGACCUCCUAUGCAGGGUAGAGCU